rfam:Mycobacterium obuense strain TC1 Mobu_contig000053, whole genome shotgun sequence.
CGCGGUCUUCGGUAGUGGCUGCCGGAUAGGAAUGCCGGCAGCUUCGAUCGAUGGCCGUA